rnacentral:rRNA from 1 species
GACGAACGCUGGCGGCGUGCUUAACACAUGCAAGUCGAACAGUGGCGAACGGGUGAGUAACACGUGAGUAACCUGCCCUCCACUUUGGGAUAACUCCGAGAAAUCGGGGCUAAUACUGGAUAGUGGGGGAUUGGCUCGCGGCCUAUCAGUUUGUUGGUGAGGUCGGGGUCACCAAGGCGUGACGGGUAGCCGGCCUGAGAGGACGACCGGCCACACUGGGACAGAGACACUGACCAGACUCAUACGGGAGGCAGCAGUGGGGAAGAUUGCGCGAUGGGCGAAAGCCUGAUGCAGCGACGCCGCGUGGGGGAUGACGGCCUUCGGGUUGUAAACCUCUUUCAGCAAGGAAGCGGUAUCUAACCAGAAAGCCACGGCUAACUACGUGCCAGCCGCCGCGGUAAUAC